GUACUUGAGAGUAAAAUGAGCGAAAAUUAGAAAAUCAGAGCAAGUUUCAGGAGCCACACGGGCUCGACUCUCCCACAUGGGAUGGGCACACGACAAUGUGAGCCACAUUGGCUUUUACACGACCAUGUGCUAGACCGUGUGAAAAUCACGAAUUGCACUCCAAACACAUGGAAAAAUACAUUUUUAGGUUGUAAUAAACCAUUUUUGCUCAAGCCCAAACCAAACCAAAUAAAAAUAAAAAUUACAAGUCCAUUUUUUAAAAAAAAACCCUAAGCCCAAAUUACAAGCCCACAACCCUAAGUUUCAGUAAAAUAAAAAAAACCCUAGCCUUCAGCGUCGCUACCCUCCACAUGAACGGGACGCCUCUCGGGGCCUACGCGCCUUUGCUGCUGUUUCACCAAAAUGGCAAGUGCAUGCUUUUUGCCGCGUCAUUGACUCUCCAAGGGCACCUACAAAAAGAAUGAAAAAAAGGACAACAACAGCAAAAACAGUAGCAAAGAAAUUAUACCAACACAGAAACAAAAAAGAAAAGAAAAUGUUGUAAUUUCAAACGGCUAUAAAGGCCGAUUUCUUGUAAGAUUCAAGGGGGGAGAAAUACAAAAAGAAAAAAAGAAAUAGAAAUCAGAAAAACUCAAAAAGAAAGAUGAUUUUUUUUUAUAUUUUCAUUACUUAUUUUUAUUUUCUAUUUUUGAAAACAUAUAUAUAUAAAAAAGUGAAACCUAUUUACCUAUGCCGCCGUAUUCUUCCUUCGUUUUGAAAGACUGACGGAUCUUCAGGGCUCUCCGAAUGGUCAUGACGAAAAAAGAUAGAACUGAAAGGUUCCUUUGAUUUUUUUUUCGAAUUUUGGUAGGCUUUUUGGGCAUUUUGGUCUUUAGAUAGGGGUUGAGGGUAGUAAAACAAUCAAAAAGGCCCAUUUUUCAUUUUUUCGACCACCGUGGAUGGCGGAGCCGUCGUCGGUGACUGGCUUCCACCGAAGGAACUUGCCGAACUUUGAGGCUAGCCAAGGGACUGCUGAAAAAGUGGGAGAGAGUUUUAGUUUUUUUUUUUUUAAAAUAAGGGCAGAAAUGAUUUUUUAAAAAGGUUUGGUGGCUUAAAUAGGUGAUACAAAACGAUGCCAUUUUGGGCCAAUUUUCAGACGUCAAAACGACGUUGUUUUGACACGGCCCGUUAUCCGACCAGUUCCAUCCCCUAGGAUCCGCA
rnacentral:lncRNA from 1 species